rnacentral:lncRNA from 1 species
UAUGUUCCAUUUGGUUACACUCUGUUUCUGAAAUGCCAUGGAAUGCCUCACUGAUAUCUGGUCCCCUGAGAUCUUUAUAUAGCAGACUUUGCAAGCAGAGUCUGUCGAUACCGCCGCUUGUUUUACGCUCUGUUUCACGGAGUAAUGUACUUGCUGUAUAUGCGUCUAUGAAGUGUGACUUACUGCUGGGAACUUGCUAUAUUUUCAGUCUGUACUAAUGAAGCUCUUUCUGCACGAGCUGCAGGCACACGAUAUCUGCCGCCUACGCCUGCUUCCUGGACCAUGUCCUGGGCAGCCUCGUCGAAGGGAAGUACGCCGAUUUCGUGGUCCUGCCGUCCACCUCAUGGCGUGAGUUCGCCGACGACAUCCCGGGGCACGUCCUGGCGACGUAUGUGAAUGGCAAGCAGGCCUACCCAUAGCCCCCGUCCGAGGCAACGGCGCUCCGGCAGCCUCCAAGUCCAGGCCGGGUUCAGAUAGAUAGAAGACGCACAUGUCUUAGCAGCACAAACCAUUGUCAGUUAACUCUGGAAGUACUAAUUGUCAUACCAAUCUUAUUCAGUGGUACAAGGAUUACGUUGGAUCCAGGUAUAUUUUUUUUCGUACAUAAUGAAUCGAGCACUUGUGGGUAGCAGACUGGUAGUGUAUGAUUUCUGUACGACAGUAUUUGUAUGAUUUCUGUAGGAAGCAUGAAACUAGCUAUCUGGCCCGCCGUCACACCGCAGUAUGCGCCUAUAAAAUGAAUCACUUCCUUUCUGUCGAGCAUCCUCACCUCGCUUCUGAACCUCACCCCACGAUUGUUGCAUCAAUCUUCUAAACUGUGCUUGCACGUGAAGGGAACUUGUGCUCUUGAGUAAAUCACAGUUGUGCUCUAUGCAAGAGCACACCUGUGAACAGAAAAACCAAAAAAAAGGGAAAACUAAAAAAAAAAAACUUCAUCCAUUCCCAAAUAUAAGUUUUUUUAGAGAUUCCAACAAAUGACUACAUACGGAGCAAAAUGAAUGAAUCUACACUCUAAAAUAUGUCUACAUACAUCCGUAUGUUGUAGUCCAUUUGAAAUGUCUAAAAAGACAUAUUUAGGAACGAAGGGAGUAGGAAAAAAACCGAACAAGGAAAAAAACCAAGAAGUCAAAAACCAAAAAGGAAAAAGACGUUCCAGUCUGAGAGUGUUCUAGCAUGCGACGUCUAACGACGCUAGGACGCACAACUUGGAGCGCUAGAGGGCUCAAGCGGCCAAGAAAAGUGCCCCCCGUGGAGGGCACCCUCCAAUUAGUCCCUCGUCAUAUGACUCUGCGCAAGCUCUCUGCUGCUCAAGGCGGGACCUCCUAGUCAGCGCCCCUUUCGCUAGGUAGCGGACCGGUGCUCACGCGAGCGGUGCGUGGCCAGCCCUACAAACCGGCUCUCCGCUCGAGCUUGUGAGCUAAUUCUUGAUGGUGAUGAUGUGUCCCAGCUUGGGGUCUCUCACCACGUCGCCUCUCGGCCUGAUGGGAUGGGACGAUGACACCCAUGUCGGUUCCAGAGAAGGCCACUUUGGAAGACCCAUGACGCCUAAGCAAAAGGCUCUAGAAACUUGUCGUGUAUGCCAAGGUGUUGGAUUCGUUGAAGACGUUGUUUCCAUGUAUGUAGCUGACUAGGAUGUUGUAACCCUAGACACCCGGUAUCUAUAUAAACCGAGGGAUAGGCCUCAUAGAAGGGACACAACAAUCUCAGGGUAGAUCAUCUGUACUUUGUACUCCAACCCAAAACAAUAAAACAGAAGCAAGAUGUAGGGUGUUAUCUCCUUAGAGAGCCCGAACCUAGGUAAAAAUUUGUGUCAUGUUACCAUCUUGUCCAAUCGUCUAGCUAGGAAUCCCCUACCCCAAGAUCUGCCGGAUUUAGCUCCAUCAUUGGUGUCCCAUACAAGUCCCACUAAGCGAUCACUACGAUAGGAUGGGAGUAAAGAUCAACGAGCAAAUCAGCACCGUCGCAAUCUUCGAGCCGGACAAAUCUUCGUCUUCGGCAACAUCGUUCUCCUCGCUAACUGGACUGGCCAUGUCGUCCAUAUAAAAAAUUUGCUCAAUGCCGGGUCGUUGUAUUCGGCGGCACGGAGCACUCCACACUCCGCGGAUUCCCGUAGUGAGUUGGUCUUCACGAGUUGGGUGUCACAGCCAGCCGAGAAUCAGUUCGAACCGUCGACCCUGAGCCCGAUACUAGGUCCGGCUCGGGAGGAGCGUCGUCGGACCCGACCUUCAGCCGGAGCCUAAAAUCACCUCCCACGGCUGAGAUGUCAAAUCAGGCUGAAGAACCAAGAUCCAUGUCAAAUUGGACCUUGGAGAAGCUUCCUCUGGUCCCGAUAUCAUAUCAGGUCCGAGAAUAAUGUAAGAAACUCUUUCUGAACGAAACAUUAUGUCAAAUCUAGAAGCUCGCAAUUGCGGACGACCCGAUCUUAGUGUGCAAUUGGAUACAGAAGUCCCCGAGAAAGGUCGGAUUUUUUGACCCACCCGCCACCCAUCUCGUCUCCACCAUCGAGGAGUUAAUCAAUGAGGGUCAGGCCGAGAGUGCAAUAAAGCAGGAUAUGCAGCCAAUGAAUAUUCGACGGCUGGACUAGUGCCAAGUCUGGGAAAGUGGGUCCAUAGCAUUGCGCAUGCAUGGCACCCACCCGCACGGGCGAACAACGAUUUGUUCAAAUCCGAGAACGCCAAAGGACACAAUUCCCAUAACAAAUACCGCCCUGGGAGCAUUAGGCCUCCAAACGUGUGGGACUUGUCCCUCGUCCGACAGCUGCCAGUUGAAACAGUACGACAGUUUUGGUCGCGUGUCCUGGCAAGGAAGAACGAGGACAAAGGAUCUGAAUGAAUUGCAUUCGCUUUAGUGAGCCACCAACAGUAAUGCCAUGAUAUGACUGUUGCGGUCCUUAGAUAAUGGAUGAUACACCUAGCAUACAUGACCAUCCAAUGUCAAUGACUUGUGGGCAGAAGUUUAAGUGGAAAUCUCAUGGUAGCUAUAUAUUUUGGGAAUAUAGGAAAAAAUCUUGGCGUGUGCCUCCUGGAUUUUGUUGUAUCCUUCUCUUGCCGAAACAUAUAUUUUUAGAAAGAGAGUUCUACUUGUUGUCCAACGUGUCGAACGAGAUAAAAUUUCUUCUUUCGUCCUAAUCGAACACGUAUGAAGACUUGGCCAGCUGUGGUACUACUAGCGUCGCAUGGCUAAUUUUGCGGUACAGGUCACCAUAGAGAAAAACUAUCAUACCCGGCUGCGGUGUACUAUUGAUAGCUCACUAAAGUAAAUUUCUACAUAGGUGCUGAGGUUUCAUAGGGGGUAGCUAGUUUGCACCAACUCUUUGCUAGGCUUUUUGAGGUGCGAGGGAGCGCUCGAUGGACGUGUAAACAAGUGGUGGGUGGUUGGGUACAUGAAGCACUUGAUAGCAAAUGAUGUUUUUUACCCCCUCCCCGACGGUUUCAACACAAUGAGGGCUCCCUAUUUAAUGAGACUAUAUGCCGCCCUCCCUCCGCCACCACCAGGCCCACUCUAGUAAUCGCCGGACAUUUAAAAUUUUCGACUACGACUACCGCUUUCUCUAGAAGCACCAUGGUGACUGCGAUCAUUGCCAUGGUGGGCCUUACGGAGAAAAUAUGUGUAUUCACUCAUAAAUUUUCAUUAUUUUCCGAGUUUUUGUUCCUUUUGUAUUUGGUUUGAGCUUUUUAAAUUGUGAAAACUAUUUCAACAAAAUAUGUACAAAAUAUAUAUUUCUCGAUAUAUAUUUUGUUUCGAUAUUCGCGUACAAUGUGAUAAUUUAGGUGUCUAGUUGUAGUUAGGGUAGAGACGACUAAAUGCUACACAACCGAGUCACGAACAUUACAAAACUGAUGCAAUCAAUCAAACGCGUAUCAUUUAUUUAGACUAAACUUUUUUAUUUUUAUAGUUAUAUUUCAUUAUUUUGACAUAGGACCUUAGUUGAUAUAUUUUCAAGUUUUAGCAACCGCGUAUUAAUAUAGCUAAAUAUUGAGAUACAAUAAUUUUAUUCUAUAUUCUCAUAAAAAGCCAAUGCCAUUGAACUAAAAACAUGCUCUAUAUCACAAGGAGUUUAACGUAGUUUUUUAGACGUGGACUCUUUUUAUUUUGGUUUAACUCAACUAUUCUUGAUUAGAGAAAAUUGGAAAAUAACAAAAUCUCAAGUUUUCAUGCAUUAUUUUGAGCUACUUAGAUGGAUUGGAAAUGUAUGUUGCCGUUUCGUGAGAGCUAUAAAGUUUAACGAAGGGUUCUGGAAUGCAUUAUUGUCCAGUUUAUGUGCAAGCAAAUAACAUGAAUAAUUAUCUUAUGAGAAAAUUCUAGAAUACGAAAAUCUCUAUGAACGCCUUUUCCUGGAACUAUUGCAUUGUUUGUUUACCGGUUCUUCUGUGGAGAAUGUAUCUUUCAUGCUCUUGUUUCAACAACCAGUUAGAAUCCCAUGCAUAUUUUGCACUUGGUCUUGAGUCACCACCAUCCAACUCAACUUGCAUCAAAUGUGUCUAGCUUUUUUUGGCUUUAUACACAAUAUUCGUAAAAAUGCGUUCUUUGCAAAUGGUAAACAUUAUCACUUCUAAAAGGUUGCAUGGGAAUUUAUGCAUUUUUUUCUUGGUUUGAUAUGUAGUCUGCAUAACUAUGGGCAAUUUAACCCCAAAAAUUAAUGGGGACCUGCGAACCUCACUUUAUCUUGCUAUCAAAAUCAAUCCAACUCAUCAAGAUUUAUGCAAUAACCUUAUGACUUUUAAAAUUAUUUGGAAAUACACAAUUUUGUAUUAGUUGGAUCUACUGUCAUGAUUUGUAUGCCUGAUAGGAUCAAUAAGGUGGGGAAGUUGGCGUUGGUGGCGGUGCAGCUUCUGUUUGUUCGGUGAGACUGAUGCCCGUGUCCCGUCCGCGGGCUACAAAGGUCGUUGAGGAGAGCCCGUGGGUGGUGGUGAGCUCUUCGUAGCCGCUCCUGCGUCAUCGUCUUCUGCCACCCUGCUUCGUGUGCAGCGGCCUCCAAGGUGCGCGGUUGUAGGUGCAGCUGCGUGUUCAACUAUGAUACGGGGAGGGCCUCCAAUGCCCUGGAGGCCGCUGCACCUCACUACUCCACUCACAAAAUGCCUUGGUUGAUGAAAUUUCAAAUUUAAGCUUUAUAAAUCGGAAAGGAAGGAGUACCUCCAUAGUGUAAUGUAACAUAAUAGUAGUAUCAUAGAUGGUUUCAUUUAUUAGCUUGUAGACUCAUCCUUUCUCGAAAAGCGCUAUGUUACAGUAACAUAUUAUGUUAGUACUCUAAACAACACUCUCCUGAUUAACUACAUGCCACGUAAGCAAAAUUCUCUUGGAGUGCGCUAUGUUACUACCUAAGGCUAGUCAUAGUGGGAGUAACAUAGUGUUGGAAAUACGCCCUAGAGGCAAUAAUAAAAUGGUUAUUAUUGUAUUUCCUUGUUCAUGAUAAUUGUCUGUUGUUCAUGCUAUAAUUGUAUUAAAUGGAAACCGUAAUACAUGUGUGAAUACAUAGACCACAACAUGUCCCUAGUAAGCCUCUAGUUGACUAGCUCGUUGAUCAAUAGAUGGUUAUGGUUUCCUGACCAUGGACAUUGGAUGUCAUUGAUAACGGGAUCACAUCAUUAGGAGAAUGAUGUGAUGGACAAGACCCAAUCCUAAGCAUAGCACAAGAUCGUGUAGUUCGUUUGCUAGAGCUUUUCUAAUGUCAAGUAUCAUUUCCUUAGACCAUGAGAUUGUGCAACUCCCGGAUACCGUAGGAAUGCUUUGGGUGUACCAAACGUCACAACGUAACUGGGUGGCUAUAAAGGUGCACUACAGGUAUCUCCGAAAGUGUCUGUUGGGUUGGCACGAAUCGAGACUGGGAUUUGUCACUCCGUAUGACGGAGAGGUAUCUCUGGGCCCACUCGGUAAUGCAUCAUCAUAAUGAGCUCAAUGUGACUAAGGAGUUAGCCACAGGAUCAUGCGUUACGGUACGAGUAAAGUGACUUGCCGGUAACGAGAUUGAACAAGGUAUUGGGAUAUCGACGAUCGAAUCUCGGGCAAGUAACAUACCGAUUGACAAAGGGAAUUGUAUACGGGAUUGAUUGAAUCCUCGACAUCGUGGUUCAUCCGAUGAGAUCAUCGUGGAACAUGUGGGAGCCAACAUGGGUAUCCAGAUCCCGCUGUUGGUUAUUUACCGGAGAGUCGUCUCGGUCAUGUCUGCAUGUCUCCCGAACCCGUAGGGUCUACACACUUAAGGUUCGGUGACGCUAGAGUUGUAGAGAUAUUAGUAUGCGGUUAACCGAAAGUUGUUCGGAGUCCCGGAUGAGAUCCCGGACGUCACGAGGAGUUCCGGAAUGGUCCGGAGGUAAAGAUUUAUAUAUGGGAAGUCCUUUUUUGGCCACCGGAAAAUGUUCGGGAUUUUUCGGUAUUGUACCAGGAAGGUUCUAGAAGGUUUUGAAGUGGGGCCCACCUGCAUGGGGGGACCCACAUGAACGUGGGUAGUGGGGGCAAGGCCCCACACCCCUGGUCAAGGCGCACCAAGAUCCCACCUUAGAAGGAAUAAGAUCAUAUCCCGAAGGGAUAAGAUCAAGAUCCCUAAAAAAGGGGGCUAACAAUCGGUGGGGAAGGGAAAUGAUGGGAUUUCUUCCCCCCACCUUUGCCAACGCCCCAAUGGACUUGGAGGGCAAGAAACCAGACCCCUCCACCCCUAUAUAUAGUGGGGAGGCGCAUGGGAGCAGCACCCCAAGCCCUGGUGCCUCCCUCCCUCCCGUGACACCUCUUCCUCCCCGCUUGCGCUUGGCGAAGCCCUGCCAGGAUCCCGCUACUUCCACCACCACGCCGUCGUGCUGCUGGAUCUCCAUCAACUUCUCCUCCCCCCUUGCUGGAUCAAGAAGGAGGAGACGUCCCCGCUCCGUACGUGUGUUGAACGCGGAGGUGCCGUCCGUUCGGCGCUAGGAUCAUCGGUGAUUUGGAUCACGACGAGUACGACUCCAUCAACCCCGUUCUCUUGAACGCUUCCGCGCGCGAUCUACAAGGGUAUGUAGAUGCACUCCCCUCUCUCUCGUUGCUAGAUGGCUCCAUAGAUUGAUCUUGGUGAUACGUAGAAAAUUUUAAAUUUCUGCUACGUUCCCCAACAGUGGCAUCAUGAGCCAGGUUUAUGCGUAGAUUCUAUGCACGAGUAGAACACAAAGUAGUUGUGGGCGAUGAUUUAUUCAAUUUGCUUACCGUUAAUAGUCUUAUCUUGAUUCGGCGGCAUUGUGGGAUGAAGCGGCCCGGACCGACCUUACCCGUACUCUUACGUGAGACAGGUUCCACCGACUGACAUGCACUUGAUGCAUAAGGUGGCUAGCGGGUGUCUGUCUCUCCCACUUUAGUCGGAUCGGAUUCGAUGAAAAGGGUCCUUAUGAAGGGUAAAUAGCAAUUGGCAUAUCACCGUUGUGGCUUUUGCGUAGGUAAGAAACGUUCUUGCUAGAAACCCAUAGCAGCCACGUAAAACAUGCAACAACAAUUAGAGGACGUCUAACUUGUUUUUGCAGGGUAUGCUAUGUGAUGUGAUAUGGCCAAAAGGAUGUGAUGAAUGAUAUAUGUGAUGUAUGAGAUUGAUCAUGUUCUUGUAAUAGGAAUCACGACUUGCAUGUCGAUGAGUAUGACAACCGGCAGGAGCCAUAGGAGUUGUCUUAAUUUAUUGUAUGACCUGCGUGUCAAUGAAAAACGCCAUGUAAUUACUUUACUUUAUUGCUAACCGUUAGCCAUAGUAGUAGAAGUAAUAGUUGGCGAGACAACUUCAUGAAGACACGAUGAUGGAGAUCAUGGUGUCAUGCCGGUGACGAAGGUGAUCAUGCCGCGCCUCGAAGAUGGAGAUCAAAAGGCGCAUGAUGAUAUUGGCCAUAUCAUGUCACUUUAUGAUUUGCAUGUGAUGUUUGUCAUGUUUACAUCUUAUUUGCUUAGAACGACGGUAGCAUAAAUAAGAUGAUCCCUCACUAAAAUUUCAAGAGAUGUGUUCCCCCUAACUGUGCACCGUUGCGAAGGUUCGUUGUUUCGAAGCACCACGUGAUGAUCGGGUGUGAUAGAUUCUAACGUUCGCAUACAACGGGUGUUGACGAGCCUAGCAUGUACAGACAUGGCCUCGGAACACAAGCAAAACACUUAGGUUGACUUGGCGAGCCUAGCAUGUACAGACAAUGGCCUCGGAACACAAGAGACCGAAAGGUCGAACAUGAGUCGUAUAGUAGAUACGAUCAACAUGGAGAUGUUCACCGAUGAUGACUAGUCCGUCUCACGUGAUGAUCGGACACGGCCUAGUCGAUUCGGAUCAUGUAUCACUUAGAUGACUAGAGGGAUGUCUAUCUAAGUGGGAGUUCAUUAAAUAAUCAGAUGAACUUAAUUAUCAUGAACAUAGUCAAAAGGUCUUUGCAAAUAAUGUCGUAGCUUACGCUUUAGUUCUACUAAGAUAUGUUCCUAGAGAAAAUUUAGUUAAAAGUUGAUAGUAGCAAUUAUGCGGACUGGGUCCGUAAACUGAGGAUUGUCCUCAUUGCUGCACAAAAGGCUUAUGUCCUUAAUGCACCGCUCGGUGUGCUGAACCUCGAGCAUCGUCUGUAGAUGUUACGAAACAUCUGACAUACACAUUUUGAUGACUACGUGAUAGUUCAGUGUGUGAUGCUAACGGUUUAAAAUUGUGGCACCAAAGACGGUUUUGAAACGUCGCAGAACAUAUGAGAUGUUCCAAAGACUGAAAUUGGGAUUUCAGACUAAUGCCCACGUCAAGAGGUAUGAGACCUCUGACAAGUUUCUUAAGCCUGCAAACUAAGGGAGAAAAGCUCAAUCGUUGAGCAUGUGCUCAGAUUGUCUGAGUACUACAAUCACUUGAAUCGAGUGGGAGUUAAUCUUCCAGAUGAGAUAGUGAUGGUUCUCCAUAGUCACUGCCACCAAGCUAUUAGAGCUUCGUGAUGAACUAUAACAUAUCAGGGAUAGACAUGAUGAUCCUUGAGCAACUCGCGAUGUUUGACACCGCGAAAGUAGAAAUCAAGUAGGAGCAUCAAUUGUUGAUGGUUAGUAAAACCACUAGUUUCUAGAAGGGCAAGGGCAAGAAGGGAUACUUCAUGAAACGGCAAAUCAGUUGCUGCUCUAGUGAAGAAACCCAAGGUUGAACCCAAACCCGAGACUAAGUGCUUCUGAAAUGAGGGGAACGGUCACUGAAGCAGAACUACCCUAGAUACUUCGUAGAUGAGAAGGCUGGCAAGGUCGACAGAUGUAUAUUGGAUAUACAUUAUAUUAAUGUGUACUUUACUAGUACUCCUAGUAGCACCAGGGUAUUAGAUACCGGUUCGGUUGCUAAGUGUUAGUAACUCGAAAUAAAAGCUGCGGAAUAAACGGAGACUAGCUAAAGGUGAGAUGACGAUAUGUGUUUCCAAGGUUGAUGUGAUCAAGCAUCGCAUGCUCCCUCUACCAUCGAGAUUGGGGUUAAACCUGAAUAAUUGUUAUUUGGUGUUUGCGUUAAGCAUAGACAUGAUUGGAUUAUGUUUAUCGCAAUAUGGUUAUUCAUUAAAGGAGAAUAAUGGUUACUCUGUCUAUUUGAAUAAUACCUUCAAUGGUCUUGCACCUAAAAUGAAUGGUUUAUUGAAUCUCGAUCGUAGUGAUACACAUGUUCAUGCCAAAAGAUAUAAGAUAGUAAUGAUAGUACCACAUACUUGUGGCACUGCCACUUGAGUCAUAUUGGUAUAAAACGCAUGAAGAAGCUCCAUGUUGAUGGAUCUUUGGACUCACUCGUUUUUGAAAAGAUUGAGACAUGCGAACCAUGCCUAUUAGUAUAUAUGCAUGAAGAAAGUCCAUACAGAUGGAUCAUUUGGACUCACUUGAUUUUGAAUCACUUGAGACAUGCAAAUCAUACCACAUGGGCAAGAUGACUGAAAGGCCUCGUUUUCAGUAAGAUGGAACAAGAGAGCAACUUGUUGGAAGUAAUACAUUUGAUGUGUGCAGUCCAAUGAGUGCUGAGGCACGCAGUGGAUAUCGUUAUGUUCUUACUUCACAGAUGAUUUGAGUAGAUGCUAAGAAUAUUUACUUGAUGAAACACAAGUCUGAAUUAUUGAAAGGUUCAAGUAAUUUCAGAGUGAAGUUGAAGAUCGUCGUGACAAGAGGAUAAAAUGUCUAUGAUAUGAUCAUAGAGAUGAAUAUCUGAGUUACGAGUUUGGCACACAAUUAAGACAUUGUGGAAAUUGUUUCACAACUAAUACCGCCUGGAACACCAUAGUGUGAUGGUGUGUCCGCACAUCAUAACUGCACCCUAUUGGAUAUGGUGCAUACCAUGAUGUCUCUUAUCGAAUUACACUAUCGUUUAUGGGUUAGGCAUUAGAGACAACCGCAUUCACUUUAAAUAGGGCACCACGCAAUUCCGUUGAGACGACACCGUAUGAACUAUGGUUUAGAGAAACCUAAGCUGUCGUUUCUUAAAAGUUUGGGGCUGCGACGCUUAUGUGAAAAAGUUUCAGGCUGAUAAGCUCAAACCCAAAGCGGAUAAAUGCAUCUUCAUAGAAUACCCAAAACAGUUGGGUAUACCUCCUAUUUCAGAUCUGGAAGCAAAAGUGAUUGUUUCUAGAAACGGGUCCUUUCUCGAGGAAAAGUUUCUCUCGAAAGAAUUGAGUGGGAGGAUGGUGGAGACUUGAUGAGGUCAUUGAACCGUCACUUCAACUAAUGUGUAGCAGGGCACAGGAAGUUGUUCCUGUGGCACCUACACCAAUUGAAGUGGAAGCUUAUGAUAGUGAUCAUGAAACUUCAGAUCAAGUCACUACCAAACCUCAUAGGACGACAAGGAUGCGUACUACUUCAGAGUGGUACGUAAUCCUGUCUUGGAAGUCAUGUUGCUAGACAACAAUGAACCUACGAGCUAUGGAGAAGCGAUGGUGGGCCCGGAUUCCGACGAAUGGCUCGAGGCCAUAAAAUCCGAGAGGCAUGUAUGAAAACAAAGUAUAGACUUUGAAAGAACUACUUGACGGUCGUAAGGCUGUUGGGUACAGCUGGAUUUUAAAGGGAAGACAGACAAUGAUGGUAAGUGUCACCAUUAAGAAAGCUCGACUUGUCGUUAAGAUGUUUUCCGGCAAGUUCAAGGAGUUGACUGCGAUGAGACUUUCUCACUCGUAGCGACGCUAAGAGUCUGUUAGAAUUAUAUUAGCAGUUACUGCAUUAUUUAUGAAAUUUUGCAGAUAGGAUGUCAAAACAUUGUUUCCUCGACGAUUUUCUUGAGGAAAGGUUGUAUGCGAUACAACCAGAAGAUUUUGUCAAUCCUGAAAGAUGCUAACAAGUAUGCAAAGCUCCAGCAAUCCUUCUAAGGAUUGGAGUAAGCAUCUCGGAGUUGGAAUGAACGCUUUGAUGAGAUGAUCAAAGAUUUUGGGUUUAUACAAAGUUCAUGAGAAACCUGUAUUUCCAAAGAAGUGAGUGGGAGCACUAUAGAAUUUUUGAUGAGUACAUGUUGUUAACAUAUUGUUGAUCAGAAAUGACGUAGAAUUUCUGGAAAGCAUCCAGGGUUAUUUGAAAAGUGUUUUUAAUGGAAAACCUGGAUUAAGCUACUUGAACAUUGAGCAUCAAGAUCUAUAAGGAUAGAUCAAAAACGCUUAAUUGUACUUUCAAAUGAAUACAUACCGUGACAAGAUUUUGAAGGAGUUCAAAAUAGAUCAGCAAAGAAGGAGUUCUUGGCUGUGUUACAAGGUGUGAGUAUUGAGUAAGACUCAAGACCUGACCACGGCAGAGGAAAGAGAAAGGACGAAGGUCGUCCCCUAUGCUUUAGACGUAGGCUCUACAAUAUGCUAUGCUGUGUACCGCACCUGAAGUGUGCCCUGCCAUGAGUUAGUCAAGGGGUACAAUAGUGAUCCAGGAAGGGAUCACAUGACAGCGGUCGAACUUAUCCUUAGUAUCUGGUGGACUAAGGAAUUUUCUCGAUUAUGGAGGUGGAAAGGGGGUUCGUCGUAAAGGGUUACGUCGAUGCAAACUUUGACACUAAUCCGGAUGACUCUGAGUAGUGAACCGGAUUCGUAUAGUAGAGAAGUUAUUUGGAAUAGCUCCAAGUAGCGCGUGGUAGCUGCAUCUACAAGAUGACAUAGAGAUUUGUAAAGCACACACGGAUCUGAAUGUUGCAGACCCGUUGACUAAAACCUCUCUCGUAAGCAUAACAUGAUCAAACCCUAGAACUCAUUGAGUGUUAAUCACAUGGUGAUGUGAACUAGAUUAUUGACUCUAGUAAACUCUUGGGUAUUAGUCACAUGGCGAUGUGAACUUUGAGUGUUAAUCACAUGGUGAUGUGAACUAGAUUAUUGACUCUAGUGCAAGUGGGAGACUGUUGGAAAUAUGCCCUAGAGGCAAUAAUAAAAUGGUUAUUAUUGUAUUUCCUUGUUCAUGAUAAUUGUCUGUUGUUCAUGCUAUAAUUGUAUUAAAUGGAAACCGUAAUACAUGUGUGAAUACAUAGACCACAACAUGUCCCUAGUAAGCCUCUAGUUGACUAGCUCGUUGAUCAAUAGAUGGUUAUGGUUUCCUGACCAUGGACAUUGGAUGUCAUUGAUAACGGGAUCACAUCAUUAGGAGAAUGAUGUGAUGGACAAGACCCAAUCCUAAGCAUAGCACAAGAUCGUGUAGUUCGUUUGCUAGAGCUUUUCUAAUGUCAAGUAUCAUUUCCUUAGACCAUGAGAUUGUGCAACUCCCGGAUACCGUAGGAAUGCUUUGGGUGUACCAAACGUCACAACGUAACUGGGUGGCUAGUGGGGGCAAGGCCCCACAUCCCUGGUCAAGGCGCACCAAGAUCCCACCUUAGAAGGAAUAAGAUCAUAUACCGAAGGGAUAAGAUCAAGGUCCCUAAAAAAGGGGGAUAGCAAUCGGUGGGGAAGGGAAAUGAUGGGAUUUCUUUCCCCCACCUUUGCCAACGCCCCAAUGGACUUGGAGGGCAAGAAACCAGCCCCCUCCACCCCUAUAUAUAGUGGGGAGGCGCAUGGGAGCAGCACCCCAAGCCCUGGCGCCUCCCUCCCUCCCGUGACCCCUCUUCCUCCCCGCUUGCGCUUGGCGAAGCCCUACCGGGAUCCCGCUACUUCCACCACCACGCCGUCGUGCUGCUGGAUCUCCAUCAACUUCUCCUCCCCCCUUGCUGGAUCAAGAAGGAGGAGACGUCCCCGCUCCGUACGUGUGUUGAACGCGGAGGUGCCGUCCGUUCGGCGCUAGGAUCAUCGGUGAUUUAGAUCACGACGAGUACGACUCCAUCAACCCCGUUCUCUUGAACGCUUCCGCGCGCGAUCUACAAUGGUAUGUAGAUGCACUCCCCUCUCUCUCGUUGCUAGAUGACUCCACAGUUUGAUCUUGGUGAUACGUAGAAAAUUUUAAAUUUUUGCUACGUUCCCAACACAUAGAUGCCACAUAAGCAAACGAGAUGAUGUGUCAUGUAAUUAAAAGGGAGAGGGACAAAUAGAGUAACAUAAUGAGUCUACAAAGCAAUAAAUGAAGAUAUGUAUGUUACUACAUCUAUGACACUUCCCACUAUAAAGGUAGUAACAUGGACUAGUAACAUAUGUAUGUUACUAGUCUAAGUUACUCCCCACUAUGACUAGCCUAAGUUACUCUCACUAUGACUAGCCUUAUAUGGCCCCAGAACAACUCUAGCAGACCCCUAUAUCUCGCGAACCCGUACAAUUCCGGCGAGUAUACGGGCUUGGCCCAAUUUUCUAGCCAGAACAGAGCCCGUAUACUCGUCCGGUCUGUAAAAAGUUUUAACGCGGCCCACAAACCGCCCCCUGAAGCUGUAUAUCUAUGGGUUUGCAGGGCAGAUACGGGUCAAAACCCUAUCCGCCCGCCGCCGCAUUUCCCCUCGAUUCCCCACUCUCUCCCCCGCAUUUGUCGCCGCCGGCGAGCCCUCUUACGUCUCCAAAUGCCAUGUGGGGCCGUAUCUGGAACUCCGGCCGUAGCUCUGGCGGCAGCGGCGACCCCGAGUGCGAGCGGUGUGUCCGCGCGGACGGCGCGAAGAAGUGCGCAUCGAGGAAGUGGACGAACAAGGGCCUCGAGCCGCCGUCAACGCUCCUCCGUCGCGAGACGAGGAGUACAACCGCCGGCACGGGCGGUCGCCCUCCUUGGCCGCGGGCUCUUCCUCUGCCGCGAGGGGCCCUUCCGGCGCGGCGCUUCUCCCCGUGAAGAGGGAGUGGUCGGAGGAGCCGGAGGAGAUCGAGCUCGUCGCCGUCAAGCAGGAGCCGGAGGAGAUCGAGCGCCGAGGCGUCAUCGGGCCCAAAGAUUUCGUGGCCGAUGUCGACGCGGUUGCGUCCAUCAUUGCCGAACGGCGCUUGCGCGAGGAGGCGGAGCGCCGGCGCCAUGACGAGGAGCUCGAAGACCUCAUGCUCAAGCAGGCGGUCGCGGCCAACCUUGCCGCGAAGGACAAGGACGAUGAGUGGCGGUGCAUCUGCGAGGAGCAGAGGCAGAAGUUCAUCGAUCUCGUCAACUCCGACGAGGAGGACUGAGCUCCUCCACCGCGAGCUCGUCCAUUUUUGUACAUCGACCUCGGCCUCGCUGAUGAGAUCGUAGUCCUUUCGAUAAGUAAGAGUGAUGAACCCAACGAAGAGCAGAAGGAAAUAACAAGCGGUUUUCAGUAAGGUAUUCUCUGCAAACAAUGAAAUUAUCGGUAACAGAUAGUUUUGUGAUAAGGUAAUUUGUAACAGGUAACAAGUAACAAAAGUAAAUAAGGUGCAGCAAGAUGGCCCAAUCCUUUUUGUAGCAAAGGACAAGCCUGGACAAACUCUUAUAUAAAGGAAAGCGCUCCCGAGGACACAUGGGAAUUAUCGUCAAGCUAGUUUUCAUCACGCUCAUAUGAUUCGCGUUCGUUACUUUGAUAAUUUGAUAUGUGGGUGAACCGGUGCUUGGGUACUGCCCUUCCUUGGACAAGCAUCCCACUUAUGAUUAACCCCUAUUGCAAACAUCUGCAACUACAAAAGAAGUAUUAAGGUAAGCCUAACCAUAGCAUGAAACAUGUGGAUCCAAAUCAGCCCCUUACGAAGCAACGCAUAAACUAGGGUUUAAGCUUCUGUCACUCUAGCAACCCAUCAUCUACUUAUUACUUCUCAAUGCCUUCCCCUAGGCCGAAACAAUGGUGAAGUGUCAUGUAGUCGACGUUCACAUAACACCACUAGAGGAAAGACAACAUACAUCUCAUCAAAAUAUUGAACGAAUGCCAAAUUCACAUGACUACUUAUGUCAAGACUUCUCCCAUGUCCUCAGGAACAAACGUAACUACUCACAAAUCAUAUUCAUGUUCAUAAUCAGAGGGGUAUUAAUAUGCAUAAAGGAUCUGAACAUAUGAUCUUCCACCAAAUAAACCAACUAGCAUCAACUACAAGGAGUAAUCAACACUACUAGCAACCCACAUGUACCAAUAUGAGGUUUUGAGACAAAGAUUGGAUAAAAGAGAUGAACUAGGGUUUGAGAUGAGAUGGUGCUGGUGAAUAUGUUGAUGGAGAUGGACCCCCUCCUGCUGAGAGGAUCGAUGGUGAUGAUUUCCCCCUCCCGGAGGGAUGUUUCCCCGGCACAACAGCUCCGCCGGAGCCCUAGAUUGGUUCUGCCCAGGUUCCUCCUCGAGACGGCGGUGCUUCGUCCCGAAAGCUUCCUUCUGAUUUUUUCCAGGGCGAAAUACUACAUAUAGCAAAAGAUGGGCACCAGAGGCCUGCCAGGGGGCCCACGAGACAGGGGGCGCGUCCAGGGGGUAGGGCGCGCCCCCACCCUCGUGGACAGGGUGUGGGCCCCCUCUAGUUGAUUCUUUCGUCAAUAUUUUUUAUUAAUUCCAAAAAUUGCUCCCGUGAAGUUUCAGGACUUUUGGAGUUGUGCAGAAUAGGUCUCUAAUAUUUGCUCCUUUCCCAGCCUAGAAUUCCAGCUGCCGGCAUUCUCCCUCUUCGUGUAAACCUUGUAAAAUAAGAGAGAAUAGGCAUAAGUAUUGGGACAUAAUGUGUAGUAACAUCCCAUAAUGCAAUAAAUAACAAUAUAAAAGCAUGAUGCAAAAUGGACGUAUCAACUCCCCCAGGCUUAGACCUCGCUUGUCCUUAAGCGGAAGCCGGUAACGAAAAAUAUGUCCAUAUGUUUAGAGAUAGAGGUGUCGAUAAAAUAAAAUAUGGACAUGAGGGCAUCAUGAUCAUUUUUAUAACAGAAACAUAUAUAAAUAUUGUCAUAUGAUUUCUUAUGCUAAAGUAACAAUCUAUUCAAUGUCAAGUAUGAAUCAGAAACCUCAUUGAAAACUAACAAACUAUAAUCUCGGUCAUUGAAGCAAUUGCAAUUUAUCAUAACAUCAGAAAGAGUCAAUAUAAGAGAUUUUCAGCAUGUCCACAUACUCAACUAUCAUUUAGUCUUUCACAAUUGCUAACACUCAUGCAAAACUUAUGGGUAUGGAGUUUUAAUCGGACACAGAGAAAGAUAGGGGCUUAUAGUGUUGCCUCCCAACCUUUUACCUCAAGGGUAGUGUCAACAAUAAUAAUUCAUGAUGACNNNNNNNNNNNNNNNNNNNNNNNNNNNNNNNNNNNNNNNNNNNNNNNNNNNNNNNNNNNNNNNNNNNNNNNNNNNNNNNNNNNNNNNNNNNNNNNNNNNNNNNNNNNNNNNNNNNNNNNNNNNNNNNNNNNNNNNNNNNNNNNNNNNNNNNNNNNNNNNNNNNNNNNNNNNNNNNNNNNNNNNNNNNNNNNNNNNNNNNNNNNNNNNNNNNNNNNNNNNNNNNNNNNNNNNNNNNNNNNNNNNNNNNNNNNNNNNNNNNNNNNNNNNNNNNNNNNNNNNNNNNNNNNNNNNNNNNNNNNNNNNNNNNNNNNNNNNNNNNNNNNNNNNNNNNNNNNNNNNNNNNNNNNNNNNNNNNNNNNNNNNNNNNNNNNNNNNNNNNNNNNNNNNNNNNNNNNNNNUAUAUAUAUCAGGAUCUUUCCAACACAAUGUGCUUUCCAAAGGAUAAAAUGUAAAAAGGAAAGGUGAAGAUCACCAUGACUUUAGUAUGAGGCAUAAGACAAGAAAAAGAUAGGCCCUUCGCAGAGGGAAGCAGAGGUUGUCAUGUGCUUUUAUGGUUGGAUGCACAAAAUCUUAAUGCGAAUUAAAGAACUUCACUUUAUAUUGCCACUUGUGAUAUGGACUUUUAUUAUGCAGUCUGUCGCUUUUAUUUCUUCCACAUCACAAGAUCGUAUAAAGCUUAUUUUCUCCACACUAUUAAAUCAUACAUAUUUAGAGAGCAAUUUUUUAUUUCAUACAACAAUGACAACUUACUUGAAGGAUCUUGCUCAAUCCAUAGGUAGGUAUGGUGGACUCUCAUGGCAAAACUGGGUUUAAGGAUAUUCGGAAGCACAAGUAGUAUCUCUACUUGGUGCAAAGAAUUUGGCUAGCAUGAGGGGGAAAGGCAAGCUCAACAUGUUGGAUGAUCCAUGGCAAUAUACUUCAUUUCGGAUAUAAGAAAACAUAACCCAUUACGUUGUCUUCCUUGUCCAACAUGAACUUUUAGCAUGUCAUAUUUUAAUGAGUGCUCACAAUCAUAAAAGAUGUCCAAGAUAGUAUAUUUAUAUGUGAAAACCUCUUUCUUUAUUACUUCCUAUUAAUUGCAACGAUGACCAAAACUAUGUUUGUCAACUCUCAACAACUUUUAUUCAUCAUACUCUUUUAUAUGUGAAGUCAUUACUCUCCACAAGAUCAAUAUGAUCUCUUUAUUUCUUUUUAUUCCUUCUUUUUCUUUUAUUCCCUCAAGAUCAUAGCAAGGUAAUCAAACCCUUAACUCAAAACUAAUCUUUAUUAUAUAUAGCUCACGGACUCGAUUACAUAGAAGGAUCAUAAAGCAAAACUCAAAACUAGAUCAUACUAAAACUUUUAUUCUACUAGAUCAAGAUAUUACCAAGACGAUCGAACUAAAAAGACGGUAAAUAUAGGAGUGUGAUGGUGAUACGAUACCGGGGCACCUCCCCCAAGCUUGGCAGUUGCCAAGGGGAGUGCCCAUACCCAUGUGUUUAUAUCUCCUUCCUCUGAGGUGGUGAUGAUGGAGUUGUUGAUGAUGUAGGCUUGUCGUCCAUCUUCCAAGGCAUAGGCUCACCAUCAUAGAAGGAUGAUCAAGUCUCCGGAAUCCUCAAAUCUGCAGCCAAACUCAUCAUCUUGAAUCUAUAUUCAUACUCACAGUUUUGGUUUUGCAGGUCAUAGAUCUGGGCUUGGAGGUGCUCGAUUUUUUUGUGAAGCUUGAAGAUGGCCUCCCCAAUAUUCUUAGCAUCCAGCUUGUGGUUGUUGGUGAACUCCGUGAUCAUUAUGUGGUUGGCGUCGAGUCCACGUUCCACCAUCUCCUGGCACUUGAAAACUUGUUGCUCCAUUUCUUCGAGUCUUGUCUCCACGCUUCCGGUCCUCCUUGGUCCCUCAGCAUCGCGGAUGUGCAACAACCUCUCACUCAUCUCAAUGGUUUGAGGGUGUUGCAACACCUCCGCGAGGUAGGGGUUGAUGACCUUCUUGAAGAACUUGUUCUUGGGGGCGCUUGGAGACGUCAUGGUAAUCUAUAUCUGUCAGAAAAACAGCUCGAAACAAAAACAGAGGAUAUUUGCGUGGUACGGUGGUCAAAACUUUUGAGAGAUUAUAUAAUGAAUUUUUACCGACCAAAAUAAGUAUCGUGCAAGAAAAUGGAGUCCGGAGAGCACACGAGGUGCCCACGAGGCAGGGGGCGCGCCCAGGGGGUAGGGCGCUCCCUCCACCCUCGUGGAUGCCUCGUGUCCUUCCCGGACUACUUCUUAUUUUCCUAUUUUCUUAAAUAUUCCAAAACGGAGAAAAAUUGCUAUCAGAACAGUUUUGGAGUCAGUUUACUUACCGUACCACAUACCUAUUCCUUUUCGGAGUCUGAAACGUUCUAGAAAGUGUCCCUUAUGUAUUCCUCCGGGGUUACGGUUUCAAUAACAUUAGUUUCAACAUUUAUGGGAUUACCUGAGAUAUAAUGUUUGAUUCUUUGACCAUUCACCACCUUCCGAUUUGUGCCUUCGAAGUUGUUGAUUUUUAUGGCACCGGAACGAUAGACCUCCUCGAUAACGUAAGGACCUUCCCAUUUAGACAUAAGUUUUCCUGCAAAAAAUCUUAAACGAGAGUUGUAUAGCAAAACAUAAUCACCUACAUUAAACUCACACUUUUGUAUCCUUUAAUCAUGCCAUCUUUUAACUUUUUCUUUAAACAGUUUGGCAUUCUCAUAAGUGUGGGUUCUCCAUUCAUCACGUGAGCUAAUGUCAAAUAGUCUCUUCUCACCAGCAAGUUUGAAAUCAUAAUUGAGAUCUUUAAUGGCCCAAUAUGCCUUAUGUUCUAGUUCGAGAGGUAAGUGACAUGCUUUCCCAUAUACCAUUUUAUACGGAGACAUACCCAUAGGAUUUUUAUAUGCAGUUCUAUAGGCCCAUAAUGCAUCAUCAAGUUUUUUGGACCAAUUCUUUCUAGAUCUAUUAACAGUAUUUUGCAAAAUUAAUUGAUCUCUCUAUUACUCAAUUCUACUUGACCACUAGAUUGUGGGUGGUAUGGAGAUGCAAUUCUAUGAUUAACAUCAUACUUAGCAAGCAUUUUACGAAAAGCACCAUGAAUAAAAUGUGAACUACCAUCAGUCAUUAAAUAUCUAGGGACUCCAAACCUCGGGAAAAUAACUUCUUUAAGCAUCUUAAUAGAGGUGUUAUGAUCAGCACUACUAGUUGGAAUAGCUUCUACCCACUUAGUAACGUAAUCAACAACAACUAAAACAUGUGUGUACCCAUUAGAGGAAGGAAACGGCCCCAUAUAAUCAAAGCCCCAAACAUCAGAUGGUUCAAUAACAAGCGAAUAGUUCAUAGGCAUUUCUUGACGUCUACUAAUAUUACCAAUUCUUUGGCAUUCAUCACAAGACAAGACAAACUUACGGGCAUCUUUGAAGAGAGUAGACCAAUAAAAACCUGAUUGCAAUACCUUAUGUGCAGUUCUAUCUCCAGGGUCGUGUCCUCCAUAAGCCUCGGAGUGACACUUGCGUAGGAUCUGUUCAUGUUCAUGCUCAGGUACACAACGUCUAAUAACACCAUCUACUCCUUCUUUAUAAAGGUGUGGAUCAUCCUAGAAGUAAUGUCUUAAAUCAUAGAAAAACUUUUUCUUUUGCUCGUAUGUGAAACUAGGUGGUAUAAAUUUAGCAACAAUGUAAUUAGCAUAAUCAUCAUACCAUGGAGUAGUGCGAGAAGCAUUUAUGAUAGCUAAUUGUUCAUCAGGAAAGCUAUCAUCUAUAGGUAGUGGGCCAUCAAGAACAUUCUCUAACCUAGAUAAGUUGUCUGCAACGGGGUUCUCAGCUCCCUUUCUAUCUAUAAUAUGCAAAUCAAAUUCUUGUAGCAAGAGAACCCAUCUAAUAGGUCUAGGUUUAGCAUAUUUCAUUUCCAUAAGAUAUUUAAUAGCAGCAUGAUCAGUGUGAACAGUUACUUUUGAAUCAACAAUAUAAGGUCUGAACUUAUCACAAGCAAAUACAACCGCUAAAAAUUAUUUUUCAGUAGUAGCAUAAUUUCUCUGGGCACUGUCCAGAGUUUUACUAGCAUAUUGGAUGACAUUUAAUUUCUUAUCAACUCUUUGUCCUAGAACAACACCUACAGCAAAAUCACUAGCAUCACACAUAAUUUCAAAGGGUAAAUUCCAAUCAAGUGGCUGAACAAUAGGUGCAGAAAUCAAGGCUCUCUUAAGUAUUUCAAAUGCUUCUACAUAAUCAUCAUCAAAUAUAAAAGGAACAUAUUUUUGCAAGAGAUUGGUCAGAGGCCUAGAAAUUUUUGAGAAGUCUUUAAGGAACCUCCUAUAAAAACCCACAUGACCAAGGAAACUUCUUAUACCUUUGAUGUCCUUAGGACACGACAUCUUUUCAAUAGCGUCAACUUUAGCUUUAUCAACUUCAAUACCUCUUUCAGAAAUUUUAUGCCCCAAGACAAUACCUUCAUUAACCAUAAAGUGGCACUUCUCCCAAUUCAAGACAAGAUUAGUUUCUUCACAUCUCUGUGAAACUCGAUCAAGGUUGCUUAAGCAAUCAUCAAAAGAAGUUCCAUAUACGGAGAAAUCAUCCAUGAAAACCUCAACAAUCUUUUCACAAAAAUCAGAGAAUAUAGCCAUCAUGCAUCUUUGAAAGGUAGCAGGUGCAUUGCAUAAACCAAAAGGCAUACGUCUAUAAGAAAAGGUACCAAAAGGGCAAGUAAAAGUGGUCUUUUCUUGAUCCUCUUUUGACACAGGUAUUUGAGAGAAACCAUAAUAACCAUCUAGAAAGCAAAAAUGUGUAUGUUUGGGUAAUCUUUCUAGCAUUUGAUCAAUAAAAGGUAAAGCGUAAUGAUCCUUUUUAGUAGCUUUAUUUAGUUUACGGAAAUCAAUUACCAUUCUAUAACCUGUAACAAUUCUUUGUGGGAUCAAUUCAUCUUUAUCAUUAGGAACAACAGUAAUACCUCCCUUCUUAGGAACACAAUGGACACGACUUACCCACUGACUAUCAGCAACGGGAUAAAUUAUACCUGCCUCCAGAAGCUUUAGUAUUUCUUUUCUUACCACUUCUUUCAUCUUAGGAUUUAACCUUCGUUGGUGAUCAACAACCGGUUUAGCGUCUUUCUUCAAUUUUAUUUUGUGUUGGCAUAGAGUGGGACUAAUGCCCUUAAGAUCAUCAAGAGUAUAUCCAAUAGCAGCACGAUGCUUCUUCAGAGUUUUCAAUAAUUUCUCUUCUUCCUUCUCUGAAAGGUUAGCACUAAUAAUAACAGGAUAUAUCUUCUUUUCAUCAAGAUAUGCAUAUUUAAGAGUAUCAGGUAAUGGUUUAAGCUCAAACACGGGAUCACCCUUGGGUGGAGGAGGAUCCCCUAGGAUUUCAAAAGGCAAGUUGUGUUUCAAAAUAGGUCCCUGUUUAAAGAAUACUUCAUCUAUUUCCCUUCUUUCAUUCAUAAACAUAUCAUUUUCAUGGUCUAGCAAAUAUUGUUCUAAAGGAUCAUUAGGAGGCACGGCAAUAGAAGCAAGACCAAUAAUUUCAUCUUACUAGGCAAUUCUUUAUCGUGGGGUUGUCUACGAAAUUUAGCGAAAUUAAACUCAUGCGACAUAUCCCCUAAACCAAUAGUAACAACAUCCUUUUUGCAAUCUAUCUUAGCAUUAUAGUAUUCAAGAAGGGUCUACCAAAUAUAAUGGGGCAAAAGUCAUCUUGUGGGGAACCAAGAACAAGAAAAUCAGCAGGAUAUUUAACUUUCCCACACAAGAUUUCAACAUCUCUAACAAUCCCAACUGGUGAAAUAGUGUCUCUAUUGGCAAGUUUAAUUGUAACAUCAAUUUCUUCUAUCUCAGCAAGUGCAAUAUCAUGCAUAAUUUGUUUGUAUAAGGAAUGAGGUAUUGCACUUGCACUAGCCCCCAUAUCACACAAGCCAUGAUAACAAUGAUCUCCUAUUUUAACAAAAACAACAGGCAUGCCUACAACAGGUCUAUGUUUAUUUUUAAUAUCAGGUCUAGCAAUUCUAGCAGCUUCAUCACAGAAGUAAAUAACAUGCCCAUCAAUAUUAUCGGCCAAGAGAUCUUUAACCAUAGCAAUACUAGGUUCAACUUUAAUUUGCUCAGGGGGUGUAGGUGUUCUAGUAUUACUCUUACGAACCACAGUUGAAGCUUUAGCAUGAUCCUUUAUUCUAACAGGGAAAGGUGGUUUCUCAAUAUAAGCAGUAGGAACAAUAGGAUCAACAUUAUAAGUGAUAGUCUUUUCUUCAACUUUAAUAGGUGCAACUACUUUUACUUCAAUGGGAGGAUUAUAUUUAAACCACUUCUCCUUAGGGAGAUCAACAUGAGUAGCAAAGGAUUCACAGAAAGAAGGUACUAUCUCAGAGUCAAUUCCAUAUUUAGUGCUAAAUUCACGGAAAACAUCGGUAUCCAUAAAAGAUUUAACACAAUCAAACUUAGGUGUUAUACCUGGCUCCUUACCUUCGUCGAGAUCCCAAUCUUCAGAGUUGUGUUUAAUUCUUUCCAAUAAAUCCCAUUUGAAUUCAAUAGUCUUCAUCAUAAAAGAGCCAGUACAAGAAGUAUCGAGCAUGGAGCGAUUAUUGAGAGAAAGCCGAGCAUAAUUUUUUUGAAUAAUAAUUUCUUUUGAGAGCACAUGAUUGGGGCAUGAAUAUAACAUUGACUUAAGCCUCCCCAAGCUUGAGCGAUGCUUUCUCCUUCGCGAGGCCAAAAGUUAUAUAUAUAAUUACGAUCACGAUGAACAUGAUGCAUAGGAUAAAACUUCUGAUGAAAUUCCAAUUUCAAUCGGUUGUAGUUACAUGAUCCCAUAUCAUCACAUAGCCUAAACCAUGUCAAUGCCUUUCCCUUCAAAGAUAAAGGGAAGACCUUCUUCUUGAUAACAUCCUCGGGCAUACCUGCAAGCUUAAAUAAUCCACAAACUUCAUCCACAUAGAUUAGGUGUAAAUCGGGAUGUAAUGUUCCAUCACCUGUAAAAGGAUUAGCUAGCAGUUUCUCUAUCAUACCCGAAGGAAUUUCAAAGUAAACAUUUUCAGUAGGUUCAGUAGGUUGAGGAGCAACUCUUUGCUCUACUGGUCGGGUGAAGAUACCCCGAACAAGCCCCUCAAAGGAUUACUUUCCAUAGUAACAAGUGACAGUAAAUUUUAGCACACUAUAUAAUUUUUUCCUUACCAAAUUCCACUUACCAAAGGUGCUUCACUCCCUGGCAACGGCGCCAGAAAAGAGUCUUGAUGACCCACAAGUAUAGGGGGUCUAUCGUAGCCCUUUUGAUAAGUAAGUGUGUUGAACCCAACGAGGAGUAGAAGAAAUGACAAGCGGUUUUGAGUAAGGUAUUCUCUGCAAGCACUGAAAUUAUCGGUAACAGACAGUUAUGUGAUAAGGUAAUUUGUAACAGGUAACAAGUAACAAAAGUAAAUAAGGUGUAGCAAGAUGGCCCAAUCCUUUUUGUAGCAAAGGACCAGCCUGGAAAAACUCUUAUAUAAAGGAAAGCGCUCCGAGGACACAUGGGAAUUAUCGUCAAGCUAGUUUUCAUCACGCUCAUAUGAUUCGUGUUCGUUACUUUGAUAAUUUGAUAUGUGGGUGGACUGGUGCUUGGGUACUGCCCUUCCUUGGACAAGCAUCCCACUUAUGAUUAACCCCUAUUGCAAGCAUCCACAACUACAAAAGAAGUAUUAAGGUAAACCUAACCAUAGCAUGAAACAUGUGGAUCCAAAUCAGCCCCUUACGAAGCAACGCAUAAACUAGGGUUUAAGCUUCUGUCACUCUAGCAACCCAUCAUCUACUUAUUACUUUCCAAUGCCUUCCCCUAGGCCCAAACAAUGGUGAAGUAUCGUGUAGUCGACGUUCACAUAACACCACUAGAGGAAAGACAACAUACAUCUCAUCGAAAUAUCGAACGAAUACCAAAUUCACAUGACUACUUAUAGCAAGACUUCUCCCAUGUCCUCAGGAACAAACGUAACUACUCACAAAUCAUAUUCAUGUUCAUAAUCAGAGGGGUAUUAAUAUGCAUAAAGGAUCUAAACAUAUGAUCUUCCACCAAAUAAACCAACUAGCAUCAACUACAAGGAGUAAUCGACACUACUAGCAACCCACAGGUACCAAUCUGAGGUUUUGAGACAAAGAUUGGAUAAAAGAGAUGAACUAGGGGUUGAGAUGAGAUGGUGCUGGUGAAGAUAUUGAUGGAGAUGAGCCCCCUCCCGCUGAGAGGAUCGAUGGUGAUGACGAUGGUGAUGAUUUCCCCUCCCGGAGGGAUGUUUCCCCGGCAGAACAGCUCCACCGAAGCCCUAGAUUGGUUCUGCCCAGGUUCCGCCACGAGACGGCGGCGCUUCGUCCCGAAAGCUUCCUUCUGAUUUUUUCUAGGGCGAAAGACUUCAUAUAGCAAAAGAUGGGCACCGGAGGCCUGCCAGGGGGCCCACGAGACAGGGGGCGCGCCCCCACCCUUGUGAACAGGGUGUGGGCCCCCUCUGAUGAUUCUUUCGCCAGUAUUUUUUAAAAAUUCCAAAAAGUGCUCCCAUGAAGUUUUAGGACUUUUGGAGUUGUGCAGAAUAGGUCUCUAAUAUUUGCUCCUUAUUCAGCCCAGAAUUCCAGCUGCCGGCAUUCUCCCUCUUCGUGUAAACCUUGUAAAAUAAGAGAGAAUAUGCAUAAGUAUUGUGACAUAAUGUGUAGCAACAACCCAUAAUGCAAUAAAUAACGAUAUAAAAGCAUGAUGCAAAAUGGACGUAUCAGUCGCCUCCGCGAGAUCCCCCACGCCCCUCUAGUAGUAGUAGUAGAAUGUAGUAUGUAUGAUCAUGUAGUAUGUGAUGAACUAGUGUGGUUGCAAUUUCUCGCGUGAAAGAUUUUUUUUUCAAUUAUACAGUUUCAUAUACAGGGUCUACUCUGCCGCGCACGAUUUCGACCCGCAAAACAUAUGUUUGUUGAACUGUAAAUGCCUUAUGCAGGUCGAAAUUAUACGGGGUCUGCUAGAGAUGCUCUCAGACUGGGAGUCUUCCUCGGAUGUUGGCUUGCUAUCUCCAGUCUCCUCGGACGGCUCCCACUCGCUCCAGGAGCCUGGGCUCGGGGCUUCCAAAAUAGUGGGUAGCCCCGCGUAUUCGUCGUGGUUGGUGAGGGAGAUCAUCUCGUACUCUGCUCUCAUCAUCUCCGAGCGAGAUGUCGUCGACCAGGUUGGUGCUGUCGUCGGAAUAUGAGCCAUCGAUGACGCAUUCAUCUGGUGUGUGCUUUAUGAAGCAGUUGCUGCAAACCAUUGCGCCGAGGUGCGAGGUCGGGGUGGGCUGGUGGAGAUGUGUGAGGUCACCGCAAUGUCCCGCAAGCUGCCUGGGUGGGAGGUGCCUUGGAUCUCCACAGAGUGCUAGCCUCUGGAUGAUUCCUUGAAAGCGUGAGUCUCUUUAUUUGGCCAUAGGAACUGCGCCGCAGGGCACGGGAAGAAAAUGUGGUUGCAAUCUUCCGGUACCAAGAAAAUGGGACAGAGACCGUCUCCAGGGCCAUUGCGCUUACGCACCUCGGUGCCCGAGGGCAGACGACCUUUGACCCAUUGCCAGAGGAAUAUGCGGAUUUUCAAGGGGAGUUUGAUCUCCCAUAUCACAGAGAGCUCGAUAGGCCCGGGGGUGGGCACAAUUGCCCGGUAAAGGGACUUAGUAGAGAAUCUGCCAUUGGGCUCAAGGUGCCAGGUUAGCGAGUCGGGCUCAAGGGAGGGGUGUGUAAGGCAAUACACUCAAGCAUCUCCUCCCACUGAGCGAUCUCCACCAUCCCAAAGGUACAGCGGAAGACAAUAACGCCUAUGUCAGCCAAUGCCACGCCCACCGAAAGUUGCGGGCGGGCGCAUAUGAAGAAUAACGCGUAGAAUCGCUCCGCAAAUGGUCUAGUUCUGGCCCAUCUAUUGAGCCAGAGCAGGGUACCGGAGCCAGUACCCACUGUAAUGGAGGUCCCAAUUCGUAAGACCGGCAUCAGCUGGAUCACCAAUUGCCAAAAUUGGGACCCUCCAGAUCUAGAAGCGAACGCCAGAGGCUACCCUCUAAGGUACUUCGUGCGGAUAAUCUCCAGCCACAGUCCACCUUCGCCAGUCUGAAUGCACCAAAGCCAUUUGGAGAGGAGGGCAAUAUUCAUCCGCUUAGAUAAAAUGACCCCAAGGCCGCCCUGAUCCUUGGGCUUGCAACUUUCAUACCACUUAACCAUAUGGUACUUCUGUUUAUUAUUCUCUCCGGCCCAGAAGAAUCUAGAGAGAAGUUUAGUGACCUCUUGAUGAAGGGAUUUAUGUAAACUAUAAAAUCCCAUAACGUACUCCCUCCGUUCCAAAUUACUCGUCGCAGAAAUGAAUGUACAUCUUGUACAUUCAUUUCUGCGACGAGUAAUUUGGAACGGAGGGAGUACAUCAAGAGGCUAACAAGGAAGGAGUUCAUGAGAACUACCCGAGCGGCCUUGGAGAGCCACCUCCCUUGCCAAGGUUCCAUCCUUGGUUGGAGCUUGAAAAUUAUUGGGCGGAAGUCUUUUUCCUGAAGACGGACAUCGCUAAUCGGCAUGCCGAGGUAAGUAGUUGGGAAGGAUCCCAAGCCACAGUUUAAGCGAUUGUCAAUUCGCUGGGCCUCCUCCUCAGAAUACCCAAGCACCAUCACCUCGCUCUUAGCGAAGUUGAUCAUGAGAUCCGACAUCUCCUCAAAGCCGAGGAGGAGGAGCAUAUGUGUGUUUAUGACGUAUGACACUUGCCGGAACUCGCUAUGUUUUCUGUCUGUACUAAUCGAGUUCUUUCUGCACGAGCUGCAGGCACACGAUAUCUGCCGCCUACGCCUGCUUCCUGCUUCCUACGAGCUGUGGGCAGCCUCGCCGAAGGGAAGUACGCCGAUUUCGUGGUCCUGCCGUCCACCUCGUGGCGCGAGUUUGCCGACGACAUCCCGGGGCACGUCCUGGCGAC